rfam:Eubacterium sp. CAG:274 genomic scaffold, scf19
GUGCCCAUAGUCUAACGGAUAAAACGCAUAGCUCCGACCUGUGAAUUAGGGGUUCGAUUCCCCUUGGGCAUA